rnacentral:lncRNA from 1 species
AAAGCACAGGUUCCGAGGCACCCAUUCUCUUCCUAUAGGAAUCCCAGUAACUUCUGAUGAUCGAUUCGUUGAGUCGCUUCAUCGGGUGCAAUGAAAUUUGAUGACGCGCUUUCAAUCAGCUACGAGAACCUAUUCAAGCAGGGCGUCGGCAAGAAGACGUCGUUAAAGAGUGAAAUAAAAUGGGUAUCAUUGAGGAGAACAAACGUAUUUACAAGGAUAUCUUUGGUAGAAACUCGUGCUUACCAAAGAAUUUAAUGGGUAUACGUUGUUUUACAAUAUAUUCAUUUUUCGUAGGUUCGCUCUGUUUAAAGAAGUGUCAAUUAUUCUCGAGAAUGACGCGCCCGGUAAGGAAUGGGAUUGGAUCAGUUUUGGUGACAUUUUGGAAGUGUCAUUUCAUUGCCGAAACGACUCAAGAUGAGAUCGUAUGUGUUCCUCGCUGGCCUUUUGGUGCUUUGCGCAGCCGCCUGCAAAGCUGCUGGUGACUAUGGGCAGAAGCCAACGAAGCCGAAUGUGGGGCCGUCGUUCAAGCUGUUGGUGGCGUCGCUCAACACCCUGGAGAAGUACCGGACGAUGCCCGGUCUGAGCGGGGCGGAGAAGGCGAGGCGGGACGAGACGGUGGCUAAGCUGGUGGAGCUCCACGUGAAGGAGCUGACGGAGCUGGUGCCCAACUGGGAGGCGCUUUUCAAGGCCGAGGAGAGAUCUGGGGACGGCACUCAGACGAGGUUCAUCGAGUUCAUCAUCCCCGUCAUCCAGGCCGUUGCUUCCGGGAUCGGCAUCUUCUACAAGGCCAUCCCCGCCAUCAUCUCCGGGGUCACCAUGGUCUGCCAGCUUCUCUACCCCUGAGCCCCGCCAAACUGUCGACACUCUUCAAAGUAUUCCUCCCGGACUAUAUCUUCAGAGGUGAACCACGAGACAGUAAACAGUUAAGCAUCAUAGAGCAUAAUUUCUCAUCAAAUUUUCACGCAGAACUAUAGAUUGCCGUGCUAAAGAAAAACGCCGUAUGAACCUUCAGGCGUUGCCAGAUUUCCUUUGAUGAAACACUUUCCUGGUAAACUUCCAUUUUCCUCUUAAUUUUUCAGAUAAUAUUGUUCGCAAUUUCACAUAAAGAUUCUGUAAAAUUAAAGGAAAAAUAUGCACAACUUUUCUCAAAAAUAAUCAUUUUUUUAAAAAUAAAUUUGGCAACUCUCAAAUGUUCAUACGGCGUUCUUCCUUAGCACGGCAGUAAGUGGCGUGGCAGUAAAGGGCGUAUAGCAGCGAGUCUCUAAAAUAUAUUGUCUCUGAUCGGGUUCUUUCGGCCACACGUGCCUUGGUAAAUUUUACCGACUUCCUAUUUUUUGGGGUUUUUUUUCUUCUUUUUUUCCCCUUCUUCAAGGAACCUUCCAAGGAGAAAAUGGAGUCUAUUAAGCUACUUUGUAGAAAUGGUGAAAACUCUAGAGUCCUACAGAUGGGUUCCUGGUCUCCAGCGAGCUGAGCGAGCGCGACGUCACGAACUUGCGGCGAAGACUGUCGGAAUCUUGCUCAAGGAGGUCUCGGUGCUCAUGUCUGAUGGGAGAGAGAAGUUCUUGCAAGAUGAGACGCAGAAACUGAAAAAAGGCGGAGCCCGAUCGAGGCUCCUCGAUCUUCUCAUCCCCAUCGGACAGGGCGUUGUAGCGGUCACGAGUGAUGCCAUACCCCACCUCAUCACCUUCUUCGUGGCGUUAUGAAAUUACAUCGACGUUUGACUCUCUCUCCAAAGCUAUUCUUAUCAUUAUAAAUUUAUUGUUUUCCAAAGAUGAAUCUUCAUUUGAUGACACAGAUAGUCACCAGGUGCUGAUUGCCACACCAAGAACUCCGCAACUUUAUUCCAAUUUUAUUAGUUUUCGAUCACUGUUCCAACAAUUGCCACAAGGCUUUAUUUGCUCAUUUUUAGUUCCUAAUAGUAUGCCAGAGUUUACGUGAGAAAUAAAGGAUGAAUUUUUGUCAGUUUUCUUGUCAAACAUCAUUUUUUAGGGAAAAAAUUAAAGCUUUUUAAAUAGAGAACCAUCUUUUUUACUUUCGGGCGGCAAAUUUUGGUUCAAUGAGCUAGGGGCAGUACAAGUAUUA